GGGAGCCAGUCCCUGCCAGGUCCCAGCUGUGGACAUCAUCACACUAACCAACAAACAGCAUCACACCCUACUCUUCUCUUGCUCAGAAUUCUUCUGUGACCUCUGCCUGCUCCAGGGAAACAGUCACACCCUAUGGCAGGUCUGCUUUCAAAUAAUAGACAGUCACGCUCCCCUAAAGGUGCCGCCUUAACAACAACACUCGUGUGUUCAAAGCACCGGCCUGAACAGUGACGUCCAUCGCAGACGUCCCUCUGAUCAGCAAAGAUCUCAUCUGAAGAGAAGGCCAGUGUUUCCAGUCAGCACAAUACCGGGGAGGGCCGUGUAUUUGUACGAACAGCAGAUUCUUCCCCUGAAUUUACACCUCUUGCUACUUCUACAAACCAGCAGGAAGACAGAGCAUAAAACUUUGCAACAGCAGGAAGUUCCUUCAAGCUUGGCAGAUCUUCGGGUGAUCUCAGGAGAAGCUGCCCGGCCUGUGGUUGUUUGCGUUUGAG